AAGUCGUAACAAGGUCUCCGUAGGUGAACCUGCGGAGGGAUCAUUAACACGUUUCCAUAACGUUUAACUUACUCCAACCAACCGCGUGAAUUAAUUGAAUCAAAAUUCGACCUGUCAGAAUUAGAUCUGCUUGGAAUGCACGGAGUGAUGAGUAUGUCUAAUGAAAGUAUGUAGUGAGCAAUUGCUAUGUAUUUUCAUUCUUCAUACGGUGUCUCCUCGCUAUUGUAUUAUCACAGUUUACUGUGAUAAAUACAAAAGAUCUCUUUCUAAUAGGCUUUUAACUACUUAGUUCCCUUCAUCGCUGGAACGAAAAACCCCUUUCACCGCAAUAACCAAUCGACUGAUACGCAUAUUCAUGCAAGUGAAAGCUUGUACUGAUAGCGACCAAUUAAUCAAAUAUCUAAGCACAACUCUUAGCAACGGAUAUCUUGGUUCUC
rnacentral:misc_RNA from 1 species